rnacentral:siRNA from 1 species
UAAUGUUGGUUUCUUGUGUUUA